rnacentral:rRNA from 1 species
AGCGGCGGAUGGGUGAGUAACACGUGGGGAACCUGCCCCUAAGUCUGGGAUACCAUUUGGAAACAGGUGCUAAUACCGGAUAAUAAAGCAGAUCGCACGAUCAGCUUUUGAAAGGCGGCGUAAGCUGUCGCUAAGGGAUGGCCCCGCGGUGCAUUAGCUAGUUGGUAAGGUAACGGCUUACCAAGGCGACGAUGCAUAGCCGAGUUGAGAGACUGAUCGGCCACAUUGGGACUGAGACACGGCCCAAACUCCUACGGGAGGCAGCAGUAGGGAAUCUUCCACAAUGGACGCAAGUCUGAUGGAGCAACGCCGCGUGAGUGAAGAAGGUUUUCGGAUCGUAAAGCUCUGUUGUUGGUGAAGAAGGAUAGAGGUAGUAACUGGCCUUUAUUUGACGGUAAUCAACCAGAAAGUCACGGCUAACUACGUGCCAGCAGCCGCGGUAAUACGUAGGUGGCAAGCGUUGUCCGGAUUUAUUGGGCGUAAAGCGAGCGCAGGCGGAAAAAUAAGUCUAAUGUGAAAGCCCUCGGCUUAACCGAGGAACUGCAUCGGAAACUGUUUUUUCUUGAGUGCAGAAGAAGGAGAGUGGAACUCCCAUGUGUAGCGGUGGAAUGCGUAGAUAUAUGGGAAGAACACCCAGUGGGCGAAAGCGGCUCUUCUUGGGUCUGCAACUUGACGCUGAGGGCUCGAAAGGCAUGGGGUAGCCGGAACAGGGGAUUAG